rnacentral:rRNA from 1 species
UACAGAGGUCUCAAGCGUUGUUCGGAUUCAUUGGGCGUAAAGGGUGUGUAGGUGGCGCCGUAAGUCGGGUGUGAAAUUUCGGAGCUUAACUCCGAACUGCAUUCGAUACUGCGGUGCUUGAGGACUGGAGAGGAGACUGGGAAUUCAUGGUGUAGCAGUGAAAUGCGUAGAGAUCAUGAGGAAGACCAGUGGCGAGGCGGGUCUCUGGACAGUUCCUGACACUGAGACACGAAGGCCAGGGGAGCAAACGGG